CCCCAGCUAAGAAGUUCUGUCGGGGAUGGAGGACUUUUUCCAAGCCUUUGUUUUGGUGGAGUCUCUGUGCAUGGCCUGAUGUGAUGAGCCAUUCGGAAGUGCUGGCUUCUGUGACUUGCAGAUCAGUGCACCCUAAAUGCCUUGCUCCUCCAAGUGGUCCCAGCAGCGUCACCAUGGGGAGCUUGUGGGAAAUGCAGACUCUGAGGCUCUGUUCCUUAACAAGAUACCCAGCAACUGCGGAUUCUCCAGACAGCAGCUUCUCCAUCAAUCUGGGGUCUUGAAGAUACCUGUUUAUGGACCUGAAGUAUAAAGUAAAAACAAACCUUUAUUGUUUUAGGCCACUGAGACUUGGAGAGGCUCAUGAUCUAACUGGCCUUGAUGGACACAGCCAGGGGAUGUUCCUUUGGAUUUUUCCUUGAUCUUUGCUCUCUUAUUUUUCAGACUGUUCUCAAAUCCCCUCCUCAGAAAGGUCCUCUCUGUCCAUUUCCCCGGAGCCACUUUCAAUUUUGUUUCCUGCUUUUUUUUUUUUUUUUUUUAAAUAGUGAUUACUGCCUUCUGA